rnacentral:lncRNA from 1 species
UAAGGUUCUGCUAAGGUGCAUUAAGGUGAAUUCCUAAAUAGAAGCCACAGUUUCCUCUUUGAAUAUUUCCUCAGUUCCUUGCAGAGAGGAGUGUAAGUCAGCACAGUUAGGAAUCUUUAUCGCUGCUGCUGCCUUCUCUCUCUGAUGACUCUGUUCUCUUGCAGCCCUCUUCUGAGUAGAGUAGAGGAAAUUGCGAGGCCUUGGUUGAAACUGAUUAAUAUCUCUUUUACUUCCUCAGUGGUAGACAGCAGCUAUUGCUAGGUAGUACAAUGGAGGAGAGGCAGUGGGGAAGCAGAACCUGUGGCGGAAGAAUGAGGCAUGAGCCUGAGAGGCAGCGCUUGUGCUGGCCUUACGAAACUGACAGCUUCCAUGACCUGUUUCUUAGAACAAUCACUCUUGAAAACCAGCCACCAUGCUGUGAGGAAGACCAAGCAAUCCCAUGGAGAAGCCCACAUAGAGAAGAACUGGUGGUCCCAGACUGAAGUCCUGCUGGGUCCUCAGACAACAGUUCUUUCGGAUGGCAGAACACAAUACUUGGAUACAUUUGGAAGGCAGAAUUCUUCAUUACGACUCUAAAUGAGAGGAGGCUGCCAGGCAGGACCACCCAGGGAAUUGUACACAGAGGGAACAAAGAAAGGGCUCUGGACUUUCAUGUGUGGAGCGGUUGGAAUCAAGAAUGCUGAUUGGGUAAGUGAGACUUCUGGGCACUGUGAGUUGCCCAUAUUACAAUAGUUGGGCCAUCUAGGCAUUUAUUCUUUCACUCGGUACAUAUUUACCAAUCUCUACUUUGUGCAAGUCAGUUAACUAAACAGAGGGGAUUUAAUAAUGACUAAAUUAAAC